rnacentral:rRNA from 1 species
AAUGAACGUUGGCGGCGUGGAUUAGGCAUGCAAGUCGCGCGAUUUCCUUCGGGGAAGAGCGGCGGAAGGGAGAGUAACGCGUAGAUACCUACCCUCGGGACUGGAAUAGCGACGGGAAACUGUCGGUAAUGCCAGAUAACAUCCCUGGACCAAAGGUGUGAAUCCGCCUGAGGAGGGGUCUGCGUCCUAUUAGCUAGUUGGCGGGGUAACGGCCCACCAAGGCGAAGAUGGGUACCGGGCGUGAGAGCGUGACCCGGCUCACUGGGACUGAGACACUGCCCAGACACCUACGGGUGGCUGCAGUCGAGAAUCUUCGGCAAUGAGCGCAAGCUUGACCGAGCGACGCCGCGUGCGGGAUGAAGGCUUUCGGGUUGUAAACCGCUGUCAGUGGGGAGGAAAUUCUUGGGGGUACUCCCCCUUGAUUGACCGAUCCGCAGAGGAAGGACGGGCUAAGUUCGUGCCAGCCGCCGCGGUAAGAC